rnacentral:rRNA from 1 species
GAUGAACGCUGGCGGCGUGCCUAAUACAUGCAAGUCGAGCGAACAGACGAGAGUGCUUGCACUCUCUGACGUUAGCGGCGGACGGGUGAGUAACACGUGGGUAACCUACCUAUAAGACUGGGAUAACUUCGGGAAACCGGAGCUAAUACCGGAUAAUAUUUAGCUUUGCAUGAAGCAAUAGUGAAAGACGGUUCUGCUGUCACUUAUAGAUGGACCCGCGGUGUAUUAGCUAGUUGGUGAGGUAACGGCUCACCAAGGCAACGAUACAUAGCCGACCUGAGAGGGUGAUCGGCCACACUGGGACUGAGACACGGCCCAGACCCCUACGGGAGGCAGCAGUAGGGAAUCUACCGCAAUGGACGAAAGUCUGACGGAGCAAUGCCGCGUGAGUGAAGAAGGUUUUCGGAUCGUAAAACUCUGUUGUAAGGGAAGAACAAGUACGUUAGUAACUGAACGUACCUUGACGGUACCUUACCAGAAAGCCACGGCUAACUACGUG